rnacentral:rRNA from 1 species
UACGGGGGGAGCAAGCGUUGUUCGGAUUUACUGGGCGUAAAGGGCGCGUAGGCGGCCUCCGCAAGUCGACUGUGAAAUCUCCGGGCUUAACCCGGAAAGGUCAGCCGAUACUGCGGGGCUAGAGUGCGGAAGGGGCAACUGGAAUUCUUGGUGUAGCGGUGAAAUGCGUAGAUAUCAAGGGGAACACCUGCGGCGAAGGCGGGUUGCUGGGCCGACACUGACGCUGAAGCGCGAAAGCUAGGGAGCGAACGGGAGUUAGAA